UUACGGCCAUAUCAUGUUGAAACAUUGGUUCCCAUUUGAUCACCAAAGUUAAGCAACAUUAAGCCUGGUCAGAACCUAGAUGGAUGACUGCUUAGGAAUACCAGGUUCUGUAAG